GGUCACACCCGUUCCCAUCCCGAACACGGAAGUUAAGCUUCUCAGCGCCGAUGGUAGUUGGGGGUUUCCCCCUGUGAGAGUAGGACGUUGCCGGGC
rnacentral:rRNA from 1 species